GACGUAGGGCGCGAGCGUUGUCCGGAUUUAUUGGGCGUAAAGAGCUCGUAGGCGGCUUGUCGCGUCGACUGUGAAAUCCCGCGGCUCAACCCCGGGCCUGCAGUCGAUACGGGCAGACUAGAGUGCGGUAGGGGAGACUGGAAUUCCUGGUGUAGCGGUGAAAUGCGCAGAUAUCAGGAGGAACACCGGUGGCGAAGGCGGGUCUCUGGGCCGUAACUGACGCUGAGGAGCGAAAGCGUGGGGAGCGAACAGG
rnacentral:rRNA from 1 species